rnacentral:rRNA from 1 species
AUUGAACGCUGGCGGCAGGCUUAACACAUGCAAGUCGAGCGGGGUGAUGGUGCUUGCACUAUCACUUAGCGGCGGACGGGUGAGUAAUGCUUAGGAAUCUACCUAUUAGUGGGGGACAACAUCUCGAAAGGGAUGCUAAUACCGCAUACGUCCUACGGGAGAAAGCAGGGGAUCACUUGUGACCUUGCGCUAAUAGAUGAGACUAAGUCGGAUUAGCUAGUUGGUGGGGUAAAGGCCUACCAAGGCGACGAUCUGUAGCGGGUCUGAGAGGAUGAUCCGCCACACUGGGACUGAGACACGGCCCAGACUCCUACGGGAGGCAGCAGUGGGGAAUAUUGGACAAUGGGGGGAACCCUGAUCCAGCCAUGCCGCGUGUGUGAAGAAGGCCUUAUGGUUGUAAAGCACUUUAAGCGAGGAGGAGGCUCUUUUGGUUAAUACCCAAGAUGAGUGGACGUUACUCGCAGAAUAAGCACCGGCUAACUCUGUGCCAGCCGCCGCAGUAA